rnacentral:rRNA from 1 species
CAGAGAUUUCCGAAUGGGGGAACCCAACAUCUUUAAUAGGAUGUUACGAUUGUGUGAAUACAUAGCACAUUCGAGGUAGACGCAGAGAACUGAAACAUCUAAGUACCUGCAGGAAGAGAAAGAAAAUUCGAUUCCCUGAGUAGCGGCGAGCGAAACGGGAAAAGCCCAAACCAGCAAGCUUGCUUGUUGGGGUUGUAGGACUCCAAUAUGGUAGUUCUUUCAGAUAGUCGAAUGACUUGGAAAAGUCAGUCAAAGAGGGUAAAAACCCCGUAGACGAAAUGUGGAAGACACCUAGGAGGAUCCUGAGUACGGCGGAACACGAGAAAUUCCGUCGGAAUCCGGGAGGACCAUCUCCCAAGGCUAAAUACUCCCUAGUGACCGAUAGUGAACCAGUACCGUGAGGGAAAGGUGAAAAGCACCCCGGAAGGGGAGUGAAAUAGAACCUGAAACCGUGUGCCUACAACAAGUCAAAGCCCGUUAAUGGGUGAUGGCGUGCCUUUUGUAGAAUGAACCGGCGAGUUACGAUUGCAUGCGAGGUUAAGUUGAAGAGACGGAGCCGCAGCGAAAGCGAGUCUGAAUAGGGCGUUUGAGUAUGUAGUCGUAGACCCGAAACCAUGUGAUCUACCCAUGUCCAGGUUGAAGGUGCGGUAAAACGCACUGGAGGACCGAACCCACGUACGUUGAAAAGUGCGGGGAUGAGGUGUGGGUAGCGGAGAAAUUCCAAACGAACUUGGAGAUAGCUGGUUCUCUCCGAAAUAGCUUUAGGGCUAGCCUCGGAAUU